rnacentral:sRNA from 2 species
AGCUCCCCGACUUGUAUAUUUAUUGAGCUGUGUUAGUGUCCGGCUAUGCCUCACCUUGCCGAGGCCCGUAAAAACCCCGUCUUCCUGUGGCGGGGUUUUGCUUUUUU